rnacentral:lncRNA from 1 species
UUUUUAAAAGUUAAAAAAAGACAUAUCAAACAUGCAAAUACUUGAAUCCAGCAGGCCAAUAGUGAAAUGUGAACACUUUCUAAUUCUACACUUCCAGGUUGACAUCAGUACACAGAAACAGGCUCUAGGAAAAAUUUCUAAGUUCAUAGCCUACGUGUGUGUAUGUGUGCGUGUUGAAACAGAAGUGUGUGUGUGUGUGCAUGUGUGGCGCGUGCUCCUGCACGGCGUGCAGUUUUCUGUGUUUGUGUGUUUGAAAGCGUGUGAGGAUUUAACUGUGGGUUUUCCCUUGUAUUCAGUAUACGCUUUUUUUUUGGCGCAUUGGUCAAACGGUUGUUAUUAUUAGCUUCUAACUUUGCACUGAGUGUCCUCGCCCUUCCUUUAGCUAAUCCUAUACAUUACAGAGAAUUCCUAGGACAGGGCUGGCGACAAUUCAUGUGUAAAUGUUUACUCAAGGACUCUGUGACUGCGUUUAAAAAGUACAGUGUAUAUCUCUGGAGAAAUAACAUGUAUACCUACCUUUAGCAGCUUUUUAUUGUGGACUAAUGCAAGAAAAUUAUUACCAGAGUAUUGCACCAUUUUUCCAUUUGGAAUAUAAAGUUAAAGAGAAAAAAAAAAAAAACUGUUGUUGAACUGUGGCCAUAGAUACUUGUAAAGAAUGGAUGGUUCCGUGGAAGGAACAGAAACAAGCACUUGGGCGUGGGUUGUGACUGCUUUUGGGGGAGCCUGGGGUUUGGGCUCCCACCUGUUUACAGACCUUUUUUUCUCCUUCAGACUUUAAAAUUUUAAAAAUUUAAAAAGGAAUUAAAAAAAAAAAAAGACUUCCGUCGUAAAGAAACCUAUUUUCAGAAUGCAGAUGCGUUCCUUCAGAGCUCUGGGACGGGACAGUGUUGUUCCCUCGGCCAUCGUCGUGGACUCUGUCGAUUGCUUUCGCCCCUUCGUCAAGGUGACAGGCGUUGUGGCCACUGUCUUGCACAUGCCGGACGCGCUCUCAGGAAAGCCAGGGCUCCCGAGGGCAGCUCCACACCAUUUCAUGUAUUUUUAAACCCAACUCCUAGCACUGAAGAUGUUAUUUAAAAAAAAAAAAAACAAAACAAAACAAAAAAAUGAAAAAAAAGAAAAAGAGGAAAAAAAAACACAAAGAAGAAAAAUACCUAAUCUCUAAUGUGUAGCAGUUACAUAUUUACCAAAUAAUGGACUCAAAAGAAAUAGAUGUUUGAAGAGUGCUUUAUAUAUUAAAAAUUGCUUUAUGUUUUAAAAAUGAUCAAUGUUUUGAUUGUUUUGCAAGGAAGAAAGACAAUGGAAUAACAUACCUUCAAGUAUGUUUUAAAAAAUAUAUAUAUGAACAUUGUGCUCCCUGCCUGCUUGAUCAGGAAACUUGUGCAUUACAUUUUUUUAAUUAGCUUUUUAAUGGUUUUAUC